rnacentral:rRNA from 1 species
AACGAACGCUGGCGGCAUGCCUAACACAUGCAAGUCGAACGAGACCUUCGGGUCUAGUGGCGCACGGGUGUGUAACGCGUGGGAACCUGCCCUUAGGUUCGGAAUAACUCCCCGAAAGGGGUGCUAAUACCGGAUAAUGUCUUCGGACCAAAGAUUUAUCGCCUUUGGAUGGGCCCGCGUUGGAUUAGCUAGUUGGUAGGGUAAAAGCCUACCAAGGCGACGAUCCAUAGCUGGUCUGAGAGGAUGAUCAGCCACACUGGGACUGAGACACGGCCCAGACUCCUACGGGAGGCAGCAGUGGGGAAUAUUGGACAAUGGGCGAAAGCCUGAUCCGGCAAUGCCGCGUGAGUGAUGAAGGCCUUAGGGUUGUAAAGCUCUUUUACCCGGGAUGAUAAUGACAGUACCGGGAGAAUAAGCUCCGGCUAACUCCGUG